UUCAGUAGGAAGAAGCGAAAGUGACGGUACCUGCAGAAGAAGCGCCGGCUAACUACGUGCCAGCAGCCGCGGUAAUACGUAGGGCGCAAGCGUUAUCCGGAAUUAUUGGGCGUAAAGAGCUCGUAGGCGGUUUGUCGCGUCUGCUGUGAAAGGCCAGGGCUCAACCCUGGUUCUGCAGUGGGUACGGGCAGACUUGAGUGAUGUAGGGGAGACUGGAAUUCCUGGUGUAGCGGUGAAAUGCGCAGAUAUCAGGAGGAACACCGAUGGCGAAGGCAGGUCUCUGGGCAUUAACUGACGCUGAGGAGCGAAAGCAUGGGGAGCGAACAGGAUUAGAUACCCUGGUAGUCCAUGCCGUAAACGUUGGGCACUAGGUGUGGGGGACAUUCCACGUUUUCCGCGCCGUAGCUAACGCAUUAAGUGCCCCGCCUGGGGAGUACGGCCGCAAGGCUAAAACUCAAAGGAAUUGACGGGGGCCCGCACAAGCGGCGGAGCAUGCGGAUUAAUUCGAUGCAACGCGAAGAACCUUACCAAGGCUUGACAUGGACUGGAUCGCAUCAGAGAUGGUGUUUCCCUUCGGGGCUGGUUCACAGGUGGUGCAUGGUUGUCGUCAGCUCGUGUCGUGAGAUGUUGGGUUAAGUCCCGCAACGAGCGCAACCCUCGUUCCAUGUUGCCAGCGCGUAAUGGCGGGGACUCAUGGGAGACUGCCGGGGUCAACUCGGAGGAAGGUGGGGACGACGUCAAAUCAUCAUGCCCCUUAUGUCUUGGGCUUCACGCAUGCUACAAUGGCCGGUACAAAGGGUUGCGAUACUGUGAGGUGGAGCUAAUCCCAAAAAGCCGGUCUCAGUUCGGAUUGGGGUCUGCAACUCGACCCCAUGAAGUUGGAGUCGCUAGUAAUCGCAGAUCAGCAACGCUGCGGUGAAUACGUUCCCGGGCCUUGUACACACCGCCCGUCAAGUCACGAAAGUUGGUAACACCCGAAGCCGGUGGCCUAACCCCUUGUGGGAGGGAGCUGUCGAAUAGGGGUCG
rnacentral:rRNA from 1 species